rnacentral:rRNA from 1 species
GCGUGGGUGAUGAAGGCCUUCGGGUUGUAAAGCCCUUUCGGCGGGGACGAUGAUGACGGUACCCGCAGAAGAAGCCCCGGCUAACUUCGUGCCAGCAGCCGCGGUAAUACGAAGGGGGCUAGCGUUGUUCGGAAUGACUGGGCGUAAAGGGCGCGUAGGCGGCGAUUUUAGUCAGGCGUGAAAGCCCUGGGCUCAACCUAGGAACUGCGUUUGAUACUGGAUCGCUUGAGUGUGGGAGAGGAUGGUGGAAUUCCCAGUGUAGAGGUGAAAUUCGU